UACGGGGGGAGCAAGCGUUGUUCGGAUUUACUGGGCGUAAAGGGCGCGUAGGCGGCGCGGUAAGUCGGGUGUGAAAUCUCGGAGCUUAACUCCGAAACUGCAUUCGAUACUGCCGUGCUAGAGGACUGGAGAGGAGACUGGAAUUUACGGUGUAGCGGUGAAAUGCGUAGAUAUCGUAAGGAAGACCAGUGGCGAAGGCGGGUCUCUGGACAGUUCCUGACGCUGAGGCACGAAGGCCAGGGGAGCAAACGGG
rnacentral:rRNA from 1 species